rnacentral:rRNA from 1 species
UACGUAGGGCGCAAGCGUUGUCCGGAAUUAUUGGGCGUAAGAGCUCGUAGGCGGUUUGUCGCGUCUGCUGUGAAAUCUGGAGGCUCAACCUCCAGCCUGCAGUGGGUACGGGCAGACUAGAGUGCGGUAGGGGAGAUUGGAACUCCUGGUGUAGCGGUGGAAUGCGCAGAUAUCAGGAAGAACACCGAUGGCGAAGGCAGAUCUCUGGGCCGUAACUGACGCUGAGGAGCGAAAGCAUGGGGAGCGAACAGG